rnacentral:rRNA from 1 species
GACGAACGCUGGCGGCGUGCUUAACACAUGCAAGUCGAACGAAGAGCGAUGGGAGCUUGCUUCUAUCAAUCUUAGUGGCGAACGGGUGAGUAACGCGUAAUCAACCUGCCCUUCUGAGGGGGACAACAGUUGGAAACGACUGCUAAUACCGCAUACGAUCUAAUCUCGGCAUCGAGGAUAGAUGAAAGGUGGCCUCUACAUGUAAGCUAUCACUGAAGGAGGGGAUUGCGUCUGAUUAGCUAGUUGGAGGGGUAACGGCCCACCAAGGCGAUGAUCAGUAGCCGGUCUGAGAGGAUGAACGGCCACAUUGGGACUGAGACACGGCCCAGACUCCUACGGGAGGCAGCAGUGGGGAAUCUUCCGCAAUGGACGAAAGUCUGACGGAGCAACGCCGCGUGAGUGAUGACGGCCUUCGGGUUGUAAAGCUCUGUUAAUCGGGACGAAAGGCCUUCUUGCGAAUAGUGAGAAGGAUUGACGGUACCGGAAUAGAAAGCCACGGCUAACUACGUG